rnacentral:rRNA from 1 species
GAGUUGAUCCCUGGCUCAGAUUGAACGCUGGCGGCAGGCCUAACACAUGCAAGUCGAACGGUAGCACAGAGAGCUUGCUCUCGGGUGACGAGUGGCGGACGGGUGAGUAAUGUCUGGGAAACUGCCUGAUGGAGGGGGAUAACUACUGGAAACGGUAGCUAAUACCGCAUAACGUCGCAAGACCAAAGAGGGGGACCUUCGGGCCUCUUGCCAUCAGAUGUGCCCAGAUGGGAUUAGCUAGUAGGUGGGGUAACGGCUCAC